rnacentral:rRNA from 1 species
AUUGAACGCUGGCGGCAGGCCUAACACAUGCAAGUCGAACGGUAGCACAGAGAGCUUGCUCUCGGGUGACGAGUGGCGGACGGGUGAGUAACGUCUGGGAAACUGCCCGAUGGAGGGAGAUAACUACUGGAAACGGUAGCUAAUACCGCAUAACGUCGCAAGACCAAAGUGGGGGAACUUCGGGCCUCACACCAUCGGAUGUGCCCAGAUGGGAUUAGCUAGUAGGGGGGGUAAUGGCUCACCUAGGCGACGAUCCCUAGCUGGUCUGAGAGGAUGACCAGCCACACUGGAACUGAGACACGGUCCAGACUCCUACGGGAGGCAGCAGUGGGGAAUAUUGCACAAUGGGCGCAAGCCUGAUGCAGCCAUGCCGCGUGUAUGAAGAAGGCCUUCGGGUUGUAAAGUACUUUCAGCGGGGAGGAAGGCGGUGAAGUUAAUAGCUUCACCGAUUGACGUUACCCGCAGAAGAAGCACCGGCUAACUCCGUGCCAGCAGCCGCCGUAACAC